rnacentral:rRNA from 1 species
UCUCUAAGCAAUGGAUGUCUUGGCUCCUCACACGAUGAAGAACGUGGCAUAAUGUGUUAAGUAACCGGAGUUGCAUACAUCAUGACAGGUUAAUCUUUGAAUGCAAAUUGCGCUUUUCUCGUUGCAAGACGAGCGAGCAUGCGUGCGACAGUACACAUUAAUUUAUAA